ACAGGCCCUGAGUCCCUCCCGGCCUUGUCUCCCCAACUCUGCAGCCAGGUCAAAGGUAUUAAGUGAAGGUAGUCAAGAUUAAGACACAACAGAAGCUCAUGGGUCCUCAGAGUUGGGCCUAAUUGGCUGACAGCAGAGACUUUUGUUCCCAAGACCCGAGAGAAGAGUGGGAAAGUGAUAAUAAAAGGGGGUGAGCGUCCAGAGGACCUGAGGCCCCCACCCCAUCAAGUUCUCACAAACCUCCUGGGGCUUAAGAGUUCAGCUCCACAAAGCAAAUCCCCCAUCUGCCGGCAGCCUGGAUGCCCCACCCCCUUCACCCUCUGCCUGCCCCGGCUCUGCCUUUUGUCUACCUCAGGGGCCUUUGCCUAAGUACUCUCUCUCCUGGGCAUCCCUCCCAGCUUCCCCUUCAGUUUCUGAGGCCUUUGUUUCCCUGGCUGUGUCUCCCUAAUCCUCCUGUUCCUACUUGGCCAAAGGCGGGGAUAUGGAGCUGGCCCUAGCAUUCGGCCACAUGGGUUUCUAUCCCCAACUCCAAACAGUUUUCAGGGCUCCCUGCUCUUCACCUUCACCCAGAGGAAGGAGAAAGCGCAACAAAUAAGAGUGUGUGCCUGGAUGGGAAGGUGGGAGUUGCCUGUCCGGAGCCCCUCCUACCAGGCUUCCCACCCAGACCCAGCAGGUGCUUGAAGUGCUAUUCUGACUGGGGUUAAGACCCUCCGAACAUACUGCCUUCCUACCCCCUGCAAGGUCCACUUCUCUCCUAAUCACAUCCUCUGAUGCUACCUAAUGUCAGUAUGCAACUCUGUGUACAUGAUCCCAAGUGGGUCGGGAGUUUUCACAAGUGGAGCACCCCGAAAGGACGUGUGCUUUCUAGAACAAGGCUGGGGUGUAAAGGAGGGACUUGGUGCCAAACGACUGGCCUGGGGACACUUGGCGCCCUUCUUUAGGAGAGCAAAGCACAGGACACUUGGCCCUCUCACUCCAGGAAGCCUUCUGCAUUCCUGACUUGUCACCUCCGCAACAUGGUGGGUCUGGCACUUGCACUACCAGGUGGGCUUUUCCUCACAUCCUGGGCCAGGCAGGGACUAAGUCAGCUUAGCCUGAGCCAGGUCCUGGCCCGAGUAUCCCAUUGGGGUUGGCGGAGGGGUGAGGGGAAGGGACGGAGAAUACCGGGGACCAAAGUCCACAGGGCUGGCCCCUCUCCUCUUGGGUCCUGUCCUUCUGGUCACUGUCCUUCCAUGAUCUGUUUUCCAGGAGGGUAUGUGACCUGCCCCCAGUUGCUAAGCAGCACUCUGGCCUCCACACGGGUACAUUAGCUCACCCAGGCCAACACCAACUCGCACAUCUUCAGGGGAGCGCCCACUCACUCCGGAGACACAUGGCCCGGUGUUUGGGCAUUCUGGCACACUCUCACAGGAGGACGGCGCAGCCGCUCGGCACUCACAAAGCGGCAACAUGCCUCCAGAACGGCUCAGUCCCCACAUGCACACAUGUAACUGACACGGGCAGUCCCACACACUCGCUGCGUCUCAGACAUACAAAGACGCCUACUCAGUCAAGUCACAUGCCACCGCACAACCCACCGGAGGGCCACACAGGCACACCUUGUCACAUCUCACAUGCCCCCUCUCCCACUGCCUUUCAUUCUGUUAGCGCCCCUCUUCCACUUGAUCCUCCAGAACUAUACUGACAGCCCCCCCCCAAAAAAAAGACUGGGCUCCCAGCCCCCAAGCCUGGCCGCAAUAAUUUCCCUAAGCGACACUCCGCAGUUUCCCUGGGGAAAUUAGAGGAAGGCUGGAACGGAGACAAGGGCAAAGGGAUGAGGCCGGGAAAGGCAGCUGCUGAGGGCAAAGACAGCUCUGACGUAUGGUCGGGCGAUGCCGAGCUUCGGCUUUUUCGAAGGCUGUUCUCGCCACCUUUCUGAUUUUUAGGAAUUCGACAUGAAGGGAGGCAAUAAAAAAAAAAUAAAACAACAAAAAACUGGAAGUCGGUGGUGGAGGGAGAACGAAUGAGGAUGGGCGGAAAGGGGGUGCGGGAGAGGCGCAGCGCUCCGGGGACAAGCACAGACAGACGGUCGGGCCGCGAGGGGAGGGGACGUGCAGUGGCCUCCCCGGAGAGUCCUGUUUACACUUGAGGAUCCCAAACCGCUUAGCGGAGGAAAGACUCUGAAGUGCUGUUUCUUAUCCCCACACCCCUGACCUGCCUGUGUUCCAAGGCUCGACUUCAAGCAACUGGUGUUAAGCUUCAGCGCCUCAUGACUGUCAACCAGGAGUUAAGGAUUUUUGUAUCCUCACACCUAACUCUGGCUCCCUAUUUCCAUACCUGCUGUGUUAUACAAACUCAAAAAACGGCCUUUCGAUCCAAAAUACAAACAGGCUGUUGUAAAGGUCCGCACUUUCAAUGUUGCUCCACCCUCAGUCUGUUCAAAUAGCCAACUGUCCUGGGUUGGUUCCAGAUAUGUGACCUCACAUCCACAGAGGGCCCCUUCUCUGGCCCAGCUCUACCCUCUCAAGGGUUUCCUGACUCUGACUCCAGCCAGAUGAACAGCGAAUGGAGGAGCCACAUUCAGUCCUUGUCCUCCGAAGCCUUCUUCCUUGAAGAACCUGCUCUCCCUUCUAGAUCACAUAAUAGAGCUGUCUGUGUAUGUCACCAGGCAUGCUGAAAAUGAGCUUGCAUAUCUCCUCCCUCAUCUUCACCUGUGAGUAUGUAUGUGUGUUGCUGAGAUCCCAGACAUGACCUUGUGGGUACAAGGCCAGCUCUGACAUAUAUCCCAGGCCUCGCUCAAGGCUUUUUGAAGUAGGAGAAACAAACAAACCAAAAAUCCCAGGUUUCAAGCUAUUUCUAAUAGUUAAAAGUUAAAUUGUAAUUUGUGAACAUUCGUAGGAGAGGAAAUACUCUGAUUUAAAAUCACAUAGAGAGCCGGGACAUGGUGGCACAUGCCUGUAAUCCUAGCACUUGGGGAGGCAGAGGCAGGCAGAUGGCUGUGAUUUCGAGGCCAGCCUGGUCUGCAAACGGAGUCCCAGGACAGCCAGAGCUACCCAGAGAAACCUUGUCUUGAAAAACCAAAUAACUAAAUAAAUAAAAUCAUGUAGAGGGUCUAGAGAGAUGGUUCCAUGGAUGAGAGCCCUUGCUGCUCUUAAAGAGGACCCCAGUUCAGUAUCCACACAGUGGCUUACAAAUCCCAGAACUUCAGUCCCAGGGGAUCUUGACAUCCUCUUCUGACCACUACAUUCAUCAGGCAAGCACAGACAUAUAUGCCAGAAAAAAAAAACACUCAUACCAAAAUAACCUUUUUUUUUUUUUGAGACAAGGUCUCUUAUGUAGUUCCAGAUGUCCUGGCACUCAAUAUGUAGACCAGGCUUCAAACUCGAAAGAGAUUGCUGGGGGUUGGUCUGGUGCUGCUGUUUAUUCAAAUGCUAAACACUGGCCCCCAAGAUCUGGCUGCUGUCCAGAGGAGCACAUUCUCACACACAAGUGAUGUUGUGUAACUUUACUCCCUUAUUAUCAAUGAUUGGCUAGUAAAGAAAGGCUGGGGCCUGUAGCUGGACAGAAUAGAGGUAGGUGGGGCUUUGAGACCCCUCAGACUGGGGGGUCUCAGGUAGGGACCACGAGGCUGGGAGAAGGGGAAAACAGGGAGAAGGAAGAAGAUGGAGAAAGAUGACAUGGCCUGAUGGAGGAGCAGAUCCAGCCCAGACAGGGCCAUUUACUGGCAAGGAACUUGGGGAAUGUGGCUGGGAGAUAGCCAGACUAGCUUAGAAAAUUAGUUGAAAUUGUAAUCGCACCUACCCAGUUAUUGUGCCUAAGCCUUGUUUAAAUAAACCAAUAGGCCUCUCUCAAAUUUUGAAAGGCUAGCUGGGGCACAGAAGAGCCCUCUAGCAUUCAAUAAAUAUUCUACAGGAAGUCUAGGUAGUAGAACAUUCACUGAAGUAAGUGUGUGUGUAUGGCUUUUCCAGACAGGGUUUCUCUAUGUAGCUUUGGCUGUCCUGGAACCUGUUCUGUAGACCAGGCUGACCUCCAACUCAGAGAUCUCCCUGCAACUGCCUCCUUAGGGUGAAGUGGAAGUUUUGGUUUCUUUAAAAACUCAGUCAUAUUCUAUAAAUAUGUUUUUGUUUUAAUCUCAAGUGUGGCAUUUUAGUUGGGCUACAGUUGAUCUACAGCUGUUAAUGUCUGGUGCGGGGUGUGUCUCUUGCCAGCUGAUAGUGGCCUGCCUCGUGCAGCAUGAGAAGGGCAUGGUCUAGGACUCUGGGGGUAUAAAUUUGAGACCCUAGGAAGAGAAAGUGUGUCCUGUGGUGGUGUGUAGCAGUUUGGAGAGACUGGAGAGACUGGAGCUGUAGCAAUUUGGAGCAGACAGACAGAAACGCUUCAGGAGAGGCUUGGAAGAGACUGCUGGCUGUUGACGGAGAUCGGUAUAUUCCCCAAAGACCCUAUGACCCUAAACAGCCAGGAGAAGUAAAGGGAUCUGUGCUCCCUCUCGCCACUAACCUUCUCUCCUACCUGUAGUUGGGGGAUUGGUGGAAAGGAAAUAGAAGCAUAAAUGCCCCAAAUAAUAUAGUUAAGAAAAAUGAAUGCUACAUUAGUGCUAGGAUUCAAGGUGUGUACCACCACCACCAAAGUAACUUUUGUAAUAAUCAGACUUUAUUUUUCUUUUCUCUGAGUAGUUUGCCUAUGUGUGUAUGUGUACCAUGUGAACACAACACCUACCGAGGCCACAAGAGAGUGCUGGAUAUCCAGGAACUGGAGUUUUACUGAUGGAACCAAGUUCUCUUCAUAAGCAGUAAUUCUGCCUUUAAUCCCAGCACUUUGAGGCAGGGGCAGGUGGAUCUCUGUAAAUUCAAGGCCAGUCUGGGCUAUAGAUCGAGUUCCAGGACAGCCAAGGCUACACAGAGAAACCCUGUCUUGAAAACUAAACAACAAAAAGAAGCAAGUUCCUUUUUCAGAUUUAUUUUAUGUGUGUAUGUGUGUCAGCAGGCAAGGUGUAUGAGUACCCUUGGAUGCCUAAAGAGGGUGUUAGAUCCCUGGAACUCCACAAUCAUAGUGGGUUUCUGUGGAAUAGCAGCAUUUUAAAAAAUGUUUUUGUUUCUUUCUUUUAGACAGGCUAUGUAGUCCAGGUUAACCUCUAAUUCACAGAGAUCCUCCUGUCUCUGCCUCCCAGAACUGGGAUUAAAUGCAUGUGCCAACAGCUGGCACUUUUAGUCACCGAGCUGGCUCUGCAGCCCUGAGGCACUCUUGGUGGAAUGUCAAACUGCUUUUCUUUAGAGCAAAAAGAAAGGGUGGGAUACCCAGAGAAACUAAGAUUUUUAUAGUCCUAGAAAUAUCAAUGAAAAACAAGUUUUCUUAUAGUCUUUUACUUUUUCUUUGCCAACCUGCCAGAACACCCUAUUGAUGUGUCCCUGUUACCCCUGUUAACACUAUUUUGUCCACCUAGUAAUGAUUCAAAUCUUAACGAACCUGAGACUCUCCCAAUCUUUUUCCGAGUAACCACGGACCCUUUUCCCUCAGGGAACUGGAGAGAAUAAACCUUUUCUCUUUGGAUCAGGUUCACACGGUACCAAUGUGGCUGACAGCCAGAGUAAAGAACGAAGGAGAGUUUUGAGUUUGGAUCUCUGUGGGUCAAAGUCUACCUAAUACAGAUCAAAUCCUCUGACCCAAAGGGGAGGGCUCUUCUCUCCAGCUCAGCCAGAUUUUGUGCAAGACAAUUAGUAUGUCAAAAUAGCAGUCUCUCGCUGUGGAGUCAGGCCUCUUGGGCUUCCGCUUUAGCUCCGCCCCUGGGUGAUUCUGCUUAAUUUAACUCUCCACCCCUUUAUCCUUCUAAACUUUAGUCCCUUGACCUACCUACCUGCUUAGAGGUAAGAACGUUUUUUGAUGACGAGCUAGAGAAAAGGGACUGGAAUGUAGCUUAGCGGUAGCGCACGUGGUUGGCAUGUACGAGGUUGGAUUCUGAGCACCAAAACCAAAAACACCGGCAGCAAAAGCCAAACAGACUUCGGAACGAAUGCCUUUGCCCAGGCCAGCCCUUCACAGACAGGUCCUGGACUGGUCCAGGAGCUUAAGCCAACACCGGGUCCUAAGGCGCUGAAGUUCCAGCCUGGCCCAGGGGCGCCCUCUGGCGUUCAGGCUGCCAACCCGGUUCCCUUCCCCGGUCGGCCUUUUCCAAGGCUGGACUAGCCCUGAGCUAAGCUGUCGCCUCCUCCCUCCGCGUCACUCGGAGGACCCCGCCCGCGGAGCGUCUCUCCUGAGAGACAGGCCCCCGCAUCCCCGGUUAGGCGCCCCUCCCGCAGUGUGUUUAAAGGUCCCCGCAGGGAUCCGCCCCGCAGGUCGCCCACAGACAGCCCGCCCACAGACAGCCCGCCUCCAAACGCGAAGAAGGUGCGGCACACCCUGCCCCCACGCUGCGCCCCGCCGGUCCCUCCCGAUCCCGCCCCGCCCUGC